ensembl:snRNA U6 U6 spliceosomal RNA
UUGCUUGCUUUGGCAGCACAUAUACUAAAACUGGAAUGAUACAGAGAAGAUUAGCACGGUCCCUUGUGCAAGAAUGAUACACAAAUUCGUGAAGCAUUCCUUAUUUUU